rnacentral:rRNA from 1 species
GAUGAACGCUGGCGGCGUGCUUAACACAUGCAAGUCGAACGGAAAGGCUCCUGCUUGCAGGGGUACUCGAGUGGCGAACGGGUGAGUAACACGUGGGUGAUCUGCCCUGCACUUCGGGAUAAGCCUGGGAAACUGGGUCUAAUACCGGAUAGGACCACAUUUUGGAUGGUGUGGUGGAAAGUUUUUCGGUGUGGGAUGAGCUCGCGGCCUAUCAGCUUGUUGGUGGGGUAAUGGCCUACCAAGGCGUCGACGGGUAGCCGGCCUGAGAGGGUGUACGGCCACAUUGGGACUGAGAUACGGCCCAGACUCCUACGGGAGGCAGCAGUGGGGAAUAUUGCACAAUGGGCGCAAGCCUGAUGCAGCGACGCCGCGUGGGGGAUGACGGCCUUCGGGUUGUAAACUCCUUUCGCUAGGGACGAAGCGCGAGUGACGGUACCUGGAGAAGAAGCACCGGCUAACUACGUG